AAAAGGAAUGCCUGUGCCACAACAAAUAUGGCACUUGCUCACUCCGCUUAAGCCGAUAGUACACUGAGUGAUAUCAGACUUGCCUUUGUAAAGGCAAAAGAGAGUCGUCAGCCUGAACUUCAAAGCCACUCCAGUGCUAAAUCAGAGUCUGAACAGUCUAUGGAUAUUAGCAGACCCAGACAGCAAGAAGAAAACACUAAUAUUGACGAAGACACAGAAGAAGAGAGAGUUGACAUUUUCACUGAGGGUAUUCUAGAAGAACUUUCAUCUAGCUCUGAAGCAUAUUCUGAAGAAGAUUGUGAAAGUCUUCAGGAGGAUAUUGGAUCAGAAGAAAUUUGGCAGAAGGCGAUCAGGAUGAGGUGGAGGACAGUAGCAAUGAAAUUGGGUCAGAAGAAGAUAUGGUGGAAACUUGUUCUGUCUCCUCCACACAGGCCCAUGAUGCAAAAUUACAAACACAGUUAUGGAAACUCUGGAGAAUUUGUGGCAGGACUUCAGGAAUAACAUGCCAAAUACCUUACACAAUACAUGGACGUUAAGACCCUUGCUCAGUUUCUUACCUGUUUCUCUGCUAUGAACAAACUAAACAUCAUGCGCAAGUUGCCAUCAAUUCUUCACGAUGGAAAGCCCAAUCUCAUUCUGUGCCCUGCUACAGAAUUAAUAACCAGCACACUUGCGUUGUACAUGAACAGCCCAGAACAGGCUUUUCCCUCAGUUGACGAGGUGCUAAUGUGCCAAGAGGACACAAGUGAAGAAGAGGUUGAAUCUUUCUUCGGCGAUGCCUAGGUCAAGAUGCUCCAAGCCACCAUCAGAAAAUCUAUACAUUGGUUAAUCAGGUUUACUGACCUAUAAUGUAAGCGUGGCUCUGGCAGAGCGUUUUGAGAAAAUGGAGAGGAGUGCUAGAUCUAAUUUUUGCAUGGUUAUAGUUUGUCCUGUGAACCAAGACAGAUAUAUCCCAUCAUUCUUUAGCAACUACAAGGUGCAAGCAGGAUUGACUGUUUCCUUAGAAAGUGGCAAGAAAUACCUUCAGCAUCACUUCUCUCCUCCCUGUGUUCAAGGCCGUCAACGUCAGGUCUUUCCAGAUGGUAUUUCUUCCUGGUUGAUUACAUCUAAACGUGCAGCUGUUGGAAAGUCACUCUAUGUUAAAAGGAUGUUCCAGAAUUUCAAGACAACUUUUCCAAAUGCCACUUAUCUGCCAGUUAGACUGAUAGAACCCAGUGUUGAUACAGACUUGCUUAGUUCGAACACUUUGUGAGAAGCAGUCACCACUGAAAGAACAAGAUCCUGUU
ensembl:lncRNA